rnacentral:rRNA from 1 species
AACGAACGCUGGCGGCAUGCCUAACACAUGCAAGUCGAACGAGACCUUCGGGUCUAGUGGCGCACGGGUGCGUAACGCGUGGGAACCUGCCCUUAGGUUCGGAAUAACUCCCCGAAAGGGGUCCUAAUACCGGUUAAUGUCUUCGGACCAAAGAUUUAUCGCCUUUGGAUGGGCCCGCGUUGGAUUAGCUAGUUGGUAGGGUAAAAGCCUACCAAGGCGACGAUCCAUAGCUGGUCUGAGAGGAUGAUCAGCCACACUGGGACUGAGACACGGCCCAGACUCCUACGGGAGGAAGCAGUGGGGAAUAUUGGACAAUGGGCGAAAGACUGAUCCAGCAAUGCCGCGUGAGUGAUGAAGGCCUUAGGGUUGUAAAGCGCUUUUACCCGGGAUGAUAAUGACAGUACCGGGAGAAUAAGCUCAGGCUAACUCCGUG